rnacentral:rRNA from 1 species
UGAAAUCUCAACAGGCCCGGACACUGGAAGGAUUGACAGAUUGAUAGCUCUUUCUUGAUUCGGUGCGUGGUGGUGCAUGGCCGUUCUUAGUUGGUUGAGUGAUUUGUCUUGUUAAUUCCGUUAACGAACGAGACCUUAACCUGCUAAAUAGUGACGCGGUUCAUCGAACCGUGGGCCACUUCUUAGAGGGACUAUCGGAUUCAAACCGAUGGAAGUGUGAGGCAAUAA